GGAUAGUACUUAGUAAAUCACUAUGGAGAGAAAUUAGUGAAUCACUAUGGACAGUACUUGGUGAAUCACUAUGGACAGAACUUGGUGAAUCACUAUGGACAGAACUUGGUGAAUCACUAUGGACAGUUCUUGGUGAAUCACUUUGGAUAGUACUUGGUGAAUCACUAUGGAUGGUACUUGGUGAAUCACUAUGGAUGGUACUUGGUGAAUCACUAUGGACAAUACAGGGCACAUCACUAUGGAUCGUAAUGGGUAAAUCACUAUGCAUAUGCAUACCUGAGGUCAGUGCUUGUUUGACCUUCUAUAGGGUUGGUGCUGCUGGGUGCAUUCCUGAGGUCAGUGCUGGUUACACAUUCAAUGGUCGGUGCUCAAAGUAAUAAAUUGCUCAUAUUUAUGCUUCUCGAUGUUUGAUUUUUGAUGAUACAAGUUUGCUUUGCUGACAUGAUCACCACUAAUACCGAUGAUCAGGGAGAAUUUCUAUGCUGCAGCUACAAAGAAAACAAGUGUUCACUUAACAUUAUAUAUGCUGUUUUGUGUGGUUUGUUCUUUAUAAUGUGUUAUUUUGUAUCUCAAAUCAUGAUAUUUAAUCUACCAUUGUUGUGCUCACUAAUUCCCCCUGUUGUCUCCAUGAAAGUUUUAAUCAGGGCAAUUUUAACUAGACAGGUAUAUUAAGUUUAUACUUGAACUUUUCAUUGUUCAUAAAAUGACAUUAAAUCAUGUGAAGGUCAAUGUUGUAUGUGAAGGUCAAGGUUGUACAGAUUUAUGCUGCAGACAUUCAACUGUCUGCAGAACAUCUUGUAAUGUUUUUAAGGGUUAAACAUCUCUACGACAUAGAUUUUAGGAGGAUUUUAAACAAAUGACCUAUAUAUAUUUUGUUCUGCCUUAUUAUGUUUCCUGUUUGCUUAAAACUAAUCACAAUUUUGAAGUUUACAAGGUAAGCCAGUAGGAUUGUAGAAUGGUCUUCUAGAUAAUCCAAACCAGGACAUAUUUUCAGCUUGAUGUUAAAUUCCAGAUGUUUAAUUAUUUUUAUCUAUCAGGGAAAAGAUCUCCCCUCCACUCUUACUUGUAGUAUACAGACACCAGUUCUUUGUUGUCAAAUGGACCUCUUGCUUAACGGCACUAUAUCUAUAAUGUCAUUGAUUUAUGUUAUAGUACUAAGCAAGAUACCAAACCAUGGAAAAUUAUUGUUGUAGUUUUAGGAUCAGGUAAAUAUUUAGAAGAGGAGCAAUUCAAAAUGUCAUAACAGAUUUUUUUUGUUUUUGGUUUUUUCUAUUUGGCAUCAUGUGCCGUAUUUUAUCACAUGUAGGAAUCCUACAUGUUCCUGUGAAAUGUUGGGUAGUAUUUGGUAACUUAUUGGAUUGUUUGUUUUAUUAUAUUAGUUUUUAUAUCAUGACCUUUUGUAUAUAGAUCAAGGUCAAACAUAUUUUUUCAAAGAUAUAUUUGUUUGUGAGUGUUUUUAUUUUUUUUCUGAUUAUGCCUUUAGUCUUCCUAUCCCCAUAACAAAAUAAUUGUGUAGAAGUAUUAAGAAGAACCAAUUUGUAGUUUUAUUAAAAAUUUAUCUUUAAAGUUAUUUUAAUUAUUUAGAUUAUUUUAAUUUAUUUUACCGCUUUGUUGUUUCUUUUUGAACUUUUGAUUUAUGAUGAAAUCAUAGUAAAAUAUGAUAUAUGGUAGAUUACUCAUGUCCAGUACUAAAAUAGGGCAGAAAACUCAUGCUCAGUACUAAACAACGUGGGUAUAUAACUGAUGUUCAGUACUGAAACAGGGGUAGAUAACUCAUGCUCAGUACUAAAAAACAGGGGUAGCUAGGAAAUGCUCAGUACUAAAAAACAGGGGUAGCUAACUCAUGUUCAGAACUAAAAAACAGGGAUAGAUAACUCAUGCUCAGUACUAAAAAACAGGGGUAGAAAACUCGUGUUCAGAACUAAAAAACAGGGGUAGAUAACUCAUACUCAGUACUAAAAAACGGAUAGAUAACUCAUGAUUAGAACAUUAACAGGGGAAGCUAACUCAUGCUCAGGUAGAAGUACACAGUUUCUGAAAUUAUACGAGUAAGUCCACGCUGAAGUUUGUAUAGCCAUGUUGAAGUGGACAUUGUGUGGCUUCCUAUUUUUCAGAAUAAUAUUUUUGUACUGAAUACAAAAUUACUAUUUUGAUUGUACUGAAUUUGUGUCUAAACACCAAAAACUAGCUUUACAAGAAAUUGAAUUUGCUCCCAUAUUUACAUGUAAGGUUACCUAUAUUUCAAAGACAUGUCCUAUAAUUUCAAUAAAAAGGCAACUUGACUGUUUCUUGCUUCCUCAGUACUGAAAAAGGGAAGUAAACUCAUUGUCAGCUCUAAAACAGGGGAGAUAACUCAUUGUCUGUACUAAAAUGGGGUAUAACCGAUUGUCAGAACCAACACGAAAAACAGGGAUAUCUAAAUCAUAACAGGGGUAGAUAACUCACAUUUAGCACUGGAAUAGAGAAAGGGAACUCAUGAUAAGUACAAAAACAAUGGAAGUCAUGCAAAAAUUCUCAAUAAAAAUCUGAUCCCUUCAUCUUUUCCCUAUCGGAGGAAAUUUAAGUGUACUCAAUAGUAUAAAGAAAAUGAUCAACUCUUAAAAAUAAAAAAAAAUCUUAAUUAGAUACAUUUUUAUUCAAUCAAAUAGUCUAAUGGAAUAAUAUAGUGUGAUCUCUUUACCAUUGAACCUGUUUGUAAGCCAUCCCAUCUGAACAGAAACGAACCAGUGUAUUUCUGGUGACAGUGAAGUUAAUAUUAAUCAAAUCAUUACAUAUAACUUUUUUAUUACCUGAUCAGAAAAUUUAUGUUUUAAAAUGAAAGUAUAUUAAAGUUUUCUGUUUGUA